rnacentral:rRNA from 1 species
UCGAGGGGCAGCGCAGGUAGCAAUACUGGGCGGCGACCGGCAAACGGGUGCGGAACACGUACACAACCUUCCUACAAGUGGGGAAUAGCCCAGAGAAAUUUGGAUUAAUACCCCGUAACAUAACGAUGUGGCAUCACAUUGUUAUUAUAGCUUCGGCGCUUGUUGAUGGGUGUGCGGCUGAUUAGAUAGUUGGCGGGGUAACGGCCCACCAAGUCUACGAUCAGUAGCUGAUGUGAGAGCAUGAUCAGCCACACGGGCACUGAGACACGGGCCCGACUCCUACGGGAGGCAGCAGUAAGGAAUAUUGGUCAAUGGACGAAAGUCUGAACCAGCCAUGCCGCGUGAAGGAUUAAGGUCCUCUGGAUUGUAAACUUCUUUUAUCUGGGACGAAAAAAGGCGAUUCUUCGUCACUUGACGGUACCAGAUGAAUAAGCACCGGCUAACUCCGUGCCAGCAGCCGCGGUAAUACGGAGGGUGCAAGCGUUAUCCGGAUUCACUGGGUUUAAAGGGUGCGUAGGCGGGCAGGUAAGUCAGUGGUGAAAUCCUAGAGCUUAACUCUAGAACUGCCAUUGAUACUAUCUGUCUUGAAUAUUGUGGAGGUAAGCGGAAUAUGUCAUGUAGCGGUGAAAUGCUUAGAUAUGACAUAGAACACCUAUUGCGAAGGCAGCUUACUACGCAUAUAUUGACGCUGAGGCACGAAAGCGUGGGGAUCAAACAGGAUUAGAUACCCUGGUAGUCCACGCCCUAAACGAUGAUUACUCGACAUUUGUGAUACACUAUAAGUGUCUG